AGAAAGGGCUCUUUUCGUGCAUGGCACAUGUAGAGCAGCUUGCCUGUUCCUCAUGCAGGACUGACAUCAAGGGACUUGAGAAGCAUAAUUUGUUGGUACUUGGGCAGCUGGUGAUCAUUGGUCCUGGCACCCCC